rnacentral:rRNA from 1 species
GAAAGGCUAAAUACUCCUUUGUGACCGAUAGUGAACCAGUACCGUGAGGGAAAGGCGAAAAGAACCCCGGCGAGGGGAGUGAAAAAGAACCUGAAACCGUGUACGUACAAGCAGUGGGAGCCUCUUAAUGGGGUGACUGCGUACCUUUUGUAUAAUGGGUCAGCGACUUAUAUUCUGUAGCAAGGUUAACCGAAUAGGGGAGCCGAAGGGAAACCGAGUCUUAACUGGGCGUUAAGUUGCAGGGUAUAGACCCGAAACCCGGUGAUCUAGCCAUGGGCAGGUUGAAGGUUGGGUAACACUAACUGGAGGACCGAACCGACUAAUGUUGAAAAAUUAGCGGAUGACUUGUGGCUGGGGGUGAAAGGCCAAUCAAACCGGGAGAUAGCUGGUUCUCCCCGAAAGCUAUUUAGGUAGCGCCUCGUGAAUUCAUCUCCGGGGGUAGAGCACUGUUUCGGCAAGGGGGUCAUCCCGACUUACCAACCCGAUGCAAACUGCGAAUACCGGAGAAUGUUAUCACGGGAGACACACGGCGGGUGCUAACGUUCGUCGUGAAGAGGGAAACAACCCAGACCGCCAGCUAAGGUCCCAAAGUCAUGGUUAAGUGGGAAACGAUGUGGGAAGGCCCAGACAGCCAGGAUGUUGGCUUAGAAGCAGCCAUCAUUUAAAGAAAGCGUAAUAGCUCACUGGUCGAGUCGGCCUGCGCGGAAGAUGUAACGGGGCUAAACCAUGCACCGAAGCUGCGGCAGCGACACUAUGUGUUGUUGGGUAGGGGAGCGUUCUGUAAGCCUGUGAAGGUGGCCUGUGAGGGUUGCUGGAGGUAUCAGAAGUGCGAAUGCUGACAUAAGUAACGAUAAAGCGGGUGAAAAGCCCGCUCGCCGGAAGACCAAGGGUUCCUGUCCAACGUUAAUCGGGGCAGGGUGAGUCGACCCCUAAGGCGAGGCCGAAAGGCGUAGUCGAUGGGAAACAGGUUAAUAUUCCUGUACUUGGUGUUACUGCGAAGGGGGGACGGAGAAGGCUAUGUUGGCCGGGCGACGGUUGUCCCGGUUUAAGCGUGUAGGCUGGUUUUCCAGGCAAAUCCGGAAAACCAAGGCUGAGGCGUGAUGACGAGGCACUACGGUGCUGAAGCGACAAAUGCCCUGCUUCCAGGAAAAGCCUCUAAGCAUCAGGUAACAUCAAAUCGUACCCCAAACCGACACAGGUGGUCAGGUAGAGAAUACCAAGGCGCUUGAGAGAACUCGGGUGAAGGAACUAGGCAAAAUGGUGCCGUAACUUCGGGAGAAGGCACGCUGAUAUGUAGGUGAAGCGACUUGCUCGUGGAGCUGAAAUCAGUCGAAGAUACCAGCUGGCUGCAACUGUUUAUUAAAAACACAGCACUGUGCAAACACGAAAGUGGACGUAUACGGUGUGACGCCUGCCCGGUGCCGGAAGGUUAAUUGAUGGGGUUAGCGGUAACGCGAAGCUCUUGAUCGAAGCCCCGGUAAACGGCGGCCGUAACUAUAACGGUCCUAAGGUAGCGAAAUUCCUUGUCGGGUAAGUUCCGACCUGCACGAAUGGCAUAACGAUGGCCACACUGUCUCCUCCUGAGACUCAGUGAAGUUGAAGUGUUUGUGAUGAUGCAAUCUCCCCGCGGCUAGACGGAAAGACCCCAUGAACCUUUACUGUAGCUUUGCAUUGGACUUUGAACCGAUCUGUGUAGGAUAGGCGGGAGCCUGUGAAACCACAACGCCAGUUGUGGUGGAGGCGUCCUUGAAAUACCGCCCUGAUUUGUUUGAGGUUCUAACCUGGGACAGUCAUCCUGUCCGGGGACCGUGCAUGGUAGGCAGUUUGACUGGGGCGGUCUCCUCCUAAAGGGUAACGGAGGAGUGCGAAGGUACGCUAGGUACGGUCGGAAAUCGUGCUGAUAGUGCAAUGGCAAAAGCGUGCUUGACUGCGAGACCCACAAGUCGAGCAGAUACGAAAGUAGGUCAUAGUGAUCCGGUGGUUCUGUAUGGAAGGGCCAUCGCUCAACGGAUAAAAGGUAC